GGCCACCAGUGCUUCCCACAGGCUGUGUUCUUACACUGACUGUACAGAAAGAAAAGGCAGAGCAAACCCACCCCAUACACACCUCAGCCCGGGCUCUUUGCCUGGUCUGUAUUGUGAAUAGGGGGCAUGG